CCCUUAGAUGUUCUGGGCUGCACGCGCGCUACACUGAUGCGCUCAACGAGUUUACGACCUUACCCGGAAGGGUUGGGUAAUCUUUUUAAAACGCAUCGUGAUGGGGAUAGAUUAUUGCAAUUAUUAAUCUUUAACGAGGAAUUCCUAGUAAGCGCGAGUCAUCAGCUCGUGCUGAUUACGUCCCUGCCCUUUGUACACACCGCCCGUCGCUCCUACCGAUUGAAUGAUCCGGUGAAUAAUUCGGACUGCAGCAGUGUUCAGUUCCUGAACGUUGCAGCGGAAAGUUUAGUGAACCUUAUCACUUAGAGGAAGGAGAAGUCGUAACA
rnacentral:rRNA from 1 species